ensembl:lncRNA
CAGCUUUCUUGAGGACAUAUCAAGUUUCACAAAAUGCACACCUGUGUGGACAAAGGAGGGCUUGCGUUAACUGGUGGGGAGGUAGUAGUGAAAUAGCUUUGGUGGUAAAUUGACCAGGCAUGUGAGGGCGAGAGAGAGAGAGAGGGAGAGAGAGAGGGAACAUUCAGAUGCUUUACCGAGAACUUCACUGAGAAAGACUGACAGUGACAGCCAUUUCUCAAGAAAGGGAGAACUGAGGAAAGAACAGCAUCCUGUAUGAGUAUUAGAUAUGGGGAACUUCACCAGCUCAGAGAAAACUUUCAUAAUUCUGUUUCCAAGUUUCGGCUUUACUAAACUCUGAUAAGAGCAUAGCUGAUAAAGAUGUGUUAGCUUUAAAGGGGAUUCCCGGAUUUUAAAUUUCUGUAGUCCAACACAUUUUCAAGUUCUUCAGAUGAAUAUUCUUUCACUGAAAUUCAUGGAAUGAUAAGAUCAAUCUCUGACGUCAUUGAAAAGAAACGGAAAGCUUAACGUGUAUGCGUUAAAUCCAUUCAUAAUGGGCUAAAGUUGAACAUAGUCAAAUACAACAUUAUUAGCCAUUUUAACAGGAGAUUAGAUUAAAAAAUCACUCUCUGCUUAAAUUCUUCAGAGGUUUGCACAAUUUUCAAAUCUGCUGCUAAAAUAAUCGUUGCUCAAGAAUGCUUUUGUAGAAUAAGCAAUAAAAACGCUUGAAAAUUGGAAGUUCUCUUAUUUAUUUCAUGUUCAUUGUCACUACUGAGUCUCAGCAGAAAC